GGAAGGGCACCACAAGGCGUGGAGCCUGCGGCUUAAUUUGACUCAACACGGGAAAACUCACCAGGUCCAGACAAAAUAAGGAUUGACAGAUUGAGAGCUCUUUCUUGAUUUUUUGGGUGGUGGUGCAUGGCCGUUCUUAGUUGGUGGAGUGAUUUGUCUGCUUAAUUGCGAUAACGAACGAGACCUUAACCUGCUAAAUAGCCAGGCUAGCUUUUGCUGGUCGCGGGCUUCUUAGAGGGACUAUCGGCUCAAGCCGAUGGAAGUUUGAGGCAAUAACAGGUCUGUGAUGCCCUUAGAUGUCCUGGGCCGCACGCGCGCUACACUGACAGAGCCAGCGAGUACAUCACCUUGGCUGAAAAGUCUGGGUAAUCUUGUUAAACUCUGUCGUGCUGGGGAUUGUCCAUUGCAAUUAUUGGACAUCAACGAGGAAUGCCUAGUAAGCGCAAGUCAUCAGCUUGCGUUGAUUACGUCCCUGCCCUUUGUACACACCGCCCGUCGCUACUACCGAUUGAAUGGCUCAGUGAGGCCUUCGGACUGGCUCCAGGAGGUCGGCAACGACCACCCAGAGCCGGAAAGUUCGUCAAACUCGGUCAUUUAGAGGAAGUAAAAGUCGUAACAAGGUUUCCGUAGGUGAACCUGCGGAAGGAUCAUUAUUGAAAAGGGAGCCCUUCGGGGUUCAACCUUAAACCCUUUGACUUAUUACCUGUUUCUUUGGCGGGCUUGCCCGUCAGAAGUUUUCUCAAACCCAUUAUAAACGUGUCGUCUGAAAACAACAUAAAUAAAACAAAACUUUCAACAACGGAUCUCUUGGUUCUGGCAUCGAUGAAGAACGCAGCGAAAUGCGAUAAGUAAUGUGAAUUGCAGAAUUCAGUGAAUCAUCGAAUCUUUGAACGCAUAUUGCGCCCUUUGGCAUUCCGAAGGGCAUACCUGUUCGAGCGUCAUUACACCCCUCAAGUUCAAACUUCUGGUUAACUUGACGUUGGGCCUUGCCUUGGGGCAUGCCUAAAAAUACAGUGAUGGUACGUCAAACCACGGGCGCAUACAUGUCGUCACGUUGGGGCGGAUGGCACCAGUCUCGCGAUUAAUUUCUCCAAAUGUUGACCUCGGAUCAGGUAGGGAUACCCGCUGAACUUAAGCAUAUCAAUAAGCGGAGGAAAAGAAACCAACAGGGAUUGCCUCAGUAACGGCGAGUGAAGCGGCAACAGCUCAAAUUUGAAAUCUGACUUUCGGGUCCGAGUUGUAAUUUGUAGAGGAUGUUUCGGGUAAGAUCUAGGUCUAAGUUCCUUGGAACAGGACGUCAUAGAGGGUGAGAAUCCCGUACGUGGCCGAGGAUCGCACCCAUGUGAAACUCCUUCGACGAGUCGAGUUGUUUGGGAAUGCAGCUCAAAAUGGGUGGUAAAUUUCAUCUAAAGCUAAAUAUUGGCCAGAGACCGAUAGCGCACAAGUAGAGUGAUCGAAAGAUGAAAAGCACUUUGAAAAGAGAGUUAAACAGUAUGUGAAAUUGUUGAAAGGGAAGCGCUUGCAACCAGACUUGUUUGUAGGGUUCAGCCGUCGUUUUCGUCGGUGUAUUUCCCUGCUAUCAGGCCAGCAUCGGUUUGGGUGGAAGGUUAAAGGCCUGGGGAAUGUAGCACUCUUCGGGGUGUCUUAUAGCCCUGGGUGUCAUGCUUCCUACCCGGACCGAGGAACGCGCUUCGGCUCGGAUGCUGGCGUAAUGGUUCUAAGCGACCCGUCUUGAAACACGGACCAAGGAGUCUAACAUCUAUGCGAGUAUUUGGGUGUCAAACCCAUAUGCGUAAUGAAAGUGAACGGAGGUGGGAAGCUUCUGCUGCACCAUCGACCGAUCCUGAUGUCUUCGGAUGGAUUUGAGUAAGAGCAUAGCUGUUGGGACCCGAAAGAUGGUGAACUAUGCCUGAAUAGGGUGAAGCCAGAGGAAACUCUGGUGGAGGCUCGCAGCGGUUCUGACGUGCAAAUCGAUCGUCAAAUUUGGGUAUAGGGGCGAAAGACUAAUCGAACC
rnacentral:rRNA from 1 species